rnacentral:rRNA from 1 species
GACGAACGCUGGCGGCGUGCCUAAUACAUGCAAGUAGAACGCUGAAGAGAGGAGCUUGCUCUUCUUGGAUGAGUUGCGAACGGGUGAGUAACGCGUAGGUAACCUGCCUUGUAGCGGGGGAUAACUAUUGGAAACGAUAGCUAAUACCGCAUAACAAUGGAUGACACAUGUCAUUUAUUUGAAAGGGGCAAUUGCUCCACUACAAGAUGGACCUGCGUUGUAUUAGCUAGUAGGUGAGGUAACGGCUCACCUAGGCGACGAUACAUAGCCGACCUGAGAGGGUGAUCGGCCACACUGGGACUGAGACACGGCCCAGACUCCUACGGGAGGCAGCAGUAGGGAAUCUUCGGCAAUGGGGGCAACCCUGACCGAGCAACGCCGCGUGAGUGAAGAAGGUUUUCGGAUCGUAAAGCUCUGUUGUAAGUCAAGAACGAGUGUGAGAGUGGAAAGUUCACACUGUGACGGUAGCUUACCAGAAAGGGACGGCUAACUACGUGCCAGCAGCCGCGGUAAUACGUAGGUCCCGAGCGUUGUCCGGAUUUAUUGGGCGUAAAGCGAGCGCAGGCGGUUUGAUAAGUCUGAAGUUAAAGGCUGUGGCUCAACCAUAGUUCGCUUUGGAAACUGUCAAACUUGAGUGCAGAAGGGGAGAGUGGAAUUCCAUGUGUAGCGGUGAAAUGCGUAGAUAUAUGGAGGAACACCGGUGGCGAAAGCGGCUCUCUGGUCUGUAACUGACGCUGAGGCUCGAAAGCGUGGGGAGCGAACAGGAUUAGAUACCCUGGUAGUCCACGCCGUAAACGAUGAGUGCUAGGUGUUGGAUCCUUUCCGGGAUUCAGUGCCGCAGCUAACGCAUUAAGCACUCCGCCUGGGGAGUACGACCGCAAGGUUGAAACUCAAAGGAAUUGACGGGGGCCCGCACAAGCGGUGGAGCAUGUGGUUUAAUUCGAAGCAACGCGAAGAACCUUACCAGGUCUUGACAUCCCGAUGCUAUUUCUAGAGAUAGAAAGUUACUUCGGUACAUCGGUGACAGGUGGUGCAUGGUUGUCGUCAGCUCGUGUCGUGAGAUGUUGGGUUAAGUCCCGCAACGAGCGCAACCCCUAUUGUUAGUUGCCAUCAUUCAGUUGGGCACUCUAGCGAGACUGCCGGUAAUAAACCGGAGGAAGGUGGGGAUGACGUCAAACCAUCAUGCCCCUUAUGACCUGGGCUACACACGUGCUACAAUGGUUGGUACAACGAGUUGCGAGUCGGUGACGGCAAGCUAAUCUCUUAAAGCCAAUCUCAGUUCGGAUUGUAGGCUGCAACUCGCCUACAUGAAGUCGGAAUCGCUAGUAAUCGCGGAUCAGCACGCUGCGGUGAAUACGUUCCCGGGCCU